rnacentral:rRNA from 1 species
AGCGAACGCUGGCGGCAGGCUUAACACAUGCAAGUCGAGCGGGCGUAGCAAUACGUCAGCGGCAGACGGGUGAGUAACGCGUGGGAACGUACCUUUUGGUUCGGAACAACACAGGGAAACUUGUGCUAAUACCGGAUAAGCCCUUACGGGGAAAGAUUUAUCGCCGAAAGAUCGGCCCGCGUCUGAUUAGCUAGUUGGUGAGGUAACGGCUCACCAAGGCGACGAUCAGUAGCUGGUCUGAGAGGAUGAUCAGCCACAUUGGGACUGAGACACGG